rnacentral:rRNA from 1 species
AUUGAACGCUGGCGGCACGCCUAACACAUGCAAGUCGAGCGGCAGCAUGCUUAGUAGCAAUACUAAGUGAUGGCGAGCGGCGGACGGGUGAGGAACACGUAGGAACCUGCCCAAGAGAGGGGGAUAACUAAGGGAAACUUUAGCUAAUACCGCAUAAUCUCUGAGGAGAAAAGCUGCCCGCAAGGGUAGCGCUUUUGGAGGGGCCUGCGUCCGAUUAGCUAGUUGGUGAGGUAAUGGCUCACCAAGGCGAUGAUCGGUAACUGGUCUGAGAGGACGACCAGUCACACUGGGACUGAGACACGGCCCAGACUCGUACGGGAGGCAGCAGUGGGGAAUCUUGGACAAUGGGGGCAACCCUGACCCAGCGAUGCCGCGUGGGUGAAGAAGGCCUUCGGGUUGUAAAGCCCUUUAGGCUGGGAAGAAGUGUGCGGGGUGAAUAAUCCUGUACAUUGACGGUACCAGCAGAAUAAGCACCGGCAAACUCUGUGCCAGCAGCCGCCGUAA